UUCGCCCUUAGAGCUUUAUCCUGGCUCAGGAUGAACGCUGGCGGCGUGCUUAACACAUGCAAGUCGAACGGACUCAUAUUGAAACCUAUUGAUUUAUGAGUUAGUGGCGGACGGGUGAGUAACGCGUGGAUAACCUGCCGUAUACCGGGGGAUAACACUUAGAAAUAGGUGCUAAUACCGCAUAAGCGCACGGCUCCGCAUGGGGCAGUGUGAAAAACUCCGGUGGUAUACGAUGGAUCCGCGUCUGAUUAGCUAGUUGGCGGGGUAACGGCCCACCAAGGCAGCGAUCAGUAGCCGGCCUGAGAGGGUGGACGGCCACAUUGGGACUGAGACACGGCCCAAACUCCUACGGGAGGCAGCAGUGGGGAAUAUUGCACAAUGGGGGAAACCCUGAUGCAGCGACGCCGCGUGAGGGAAGACGGUUUUCGGAUUGUAAACCUCUGUCCUCUGUGAAGAUGAUGACGGUAGCAGAGGAGGAAGCUCCGGCUAACUACGUGCCAGCAGCCGCGGUAAUACGUAGGGAGCGAGCGUUGUCCGGAUUUACUGGGUGUAAAGGGUGCGUAGGCGGCUUGGCAAGUCAGUAGUGAAAUCCAUGGGCUUAACCCAUGAACUGCUAUUGAAACUGUCGAGCUUGAGUGAAGUAGAGGUAGGCGGAAUUCCCGGUGUAGCGGUGAAAUGCGUAGAGAUCGGGAGGAACACCAGUGGCGAAGGCGGCCUACUGGGCUUUAACUGACGCUGAGGCACGAAAGCGUGGGUAGCAAACAGGAUUAGAUACCCUGGUAGUCCACGCUGUAAACGAUGAUUACUAGGUGUGGGUGGACUGACCCCAUCCGUGCCGGAGUUAACACAAUAAGUAAUCCACCUGGGGAGUACGGCCGCAAGGCUGAAACUCAAAGGAAUUGACGGGGGCCCGCACAAGCAGUGGAGUAUGUGGAUUAAUUCGAUGCAACGCGAAGAACCUUACCAGGUCUUGACAUCCCGCUAACGAGGUAGAGAUACGUUAGGUGCCCUUCGGGGAAAGCGGAGACAGGUGGUGCAUGGUUGUCGUCAGCUCGUGUCGUGAGAUGUUGGGUUAAGUCCCGCAACGAGCGCAACCCUUACUGUUAGUUGCUACGCAAGAGCACUCUAGCAGGACCGCCGUUGACAAAACGGAGGAAGGUGGGGACGACGUCAAAUCAUCAUGCCCCUUAUGUCCUGGGCUACACACGUAAUACAAUGGCGGUCAACAGAGGGAUGCAAAGCCGCGAGGCAGAGCGAACCCCUAAAAGCCGUCCCAGUUCGGAUCGCAGGCUGCAACCCGCCUGCGUGAAGUCGGAAUCGCUAGUAAUCGCGGAUCAGCAUGCCGCGGUGAAUACGAAAGGGGGCCUUGCACACACCGCCCGUCA
rnacentral:rRNA from 1 species